UUUCUGGUUGCUAAAGUUAUUUGCGGAAGUGAAGGUGGAAUGGUGUGGAAGAGUUCAGGCAAAGAGAGAGAAUGAGUUAUGAGUUACGUAUUAAGAACGCUGAGGAAAAAGCGAGAGGUGGACACAAUCAUUAGAGACACCAUCGACAAGGUCCUCGUCCUACGUUUUGGCUACUCUUCCGACCCCGUCUAUCUCCAUCUCGAUGACGCCCUUUGCAAAUCGGCUCGGGAGGUGUCCAAGUUUGCUAAUGUAGUACUCGUUGAUAUCGAUUCCGACAAAAUUCAAGUUUAUGCCAACUACUUUGACAUUACUUUCAUAUCUUCCACUGUUUUCUUUUUCAAUGCUCAUCACAUGAAGAUGGACUCUGGGUACCUUUUGUUUCAUUCUUAAUGUGAUGUUUCACAAGAAGCAGAACUCCAUUGAUGUUGUAGAGAUAUAUGUAUGGUAGAAGUAUGCAUAAUGCUCUUUAACAUUCUUGCAGGCAAUGUACAGAGGGGCCAUGAAAGGCAUGCUGAUAGUGAGUUGCCCUCUGCCUUCAGAGAGAAUACCGAAGAAUCAAUUGUUGUACAGGGAUGUGUAAAAGGUGAAGUGACCUCAGUAAGACUCGAUGGAGCUUGAAGAUUAUCCUAUACAGUACAUGUUGAUUUGAAAGAAUUCUAAGUGUUUUUUUUCUCUCUCUCUCUGGGGGAAUUUCCGCAGAAAAAAUUGUUAAAGAGAGUGAAAGUUUUUUGCAUUGUAAAUUUCUUUGGUAGAUUUGACAUGAACAAGAAAAAAUAAAUAAAAGAGAGUGAAGUAUUAGAGAAAUUGCAAAGUUUGUUUUGCAUGCUA